rnacentral:piRNA from 1 species
UGCAUUUGCAUGUUAAAAGGCUAGGGUA